rnacentral:rRNA from 1 species
GACGAACGCUGGCGGCGUGCCUAAUACAUGCAAGUUGAGCGCUGAAGGUUGGUACUUGUACCAACUGGAUGAGCAGCGAACGGGUGAGUAACGCGUGGGGAAUCUGCCUUUGAGCGGGGGACAACAUUUGGAGACGAAUGCUAAUACCGCAUAAAAACUUUAAACACAAGUUUUAAGUUUGAAAGAUGCAAUUGCAUCACUCAAAGAUGAUCCCGCGUUGUAUUAGCUAGUUGGUGAGGUAAAGGCUCACCAAGGCGAUGAUACAUAGCCGACCUGAGAGGGUGAUCGGCCACAUUGGGACUGAGACACGGCCCAAACUCCCACGGGAGGCAGCAGUAGGGAAUCUUCGGCAAUAGACGAAAGUCUGACCGAGCAACGCCGCGUGAGUGAAGAAGGUUGUCGGAUCGUAAAACUCUGUUGGUAGAGAAGAACGUUGGUGAGAGUGGAAAGCUCAUCAAGUGACGGUAACUACCCAGAAAGGGACGGCUAACUACGUG